rnacentral:pre_miRNA from 1 species
CAAAUACUCCCUCCGUCCGGAAAUACUUGUCAUCAAAAUGGAUAAAAGGAAAUGUAUCUAGACGUAUUUUAGUUUUAGAUACAUCUCUUUUUAUACAUUUUGAUGACAAGUAUUUUUGGACGGAGGGAGUAGAAA